AGAUUGAACGCUGGCGGCAGGCCUAACACAUGCAAGUCGAGCGGCAGCACGGGUACUUGUACCUGGUGGCGAGCGGCGGACGGGUGAGUAAUGCCUAGGAAUCUGCCUGGUAGUGGGGGAUAACGCUCGGAAACGGACGCUAAUACCGCAUACGUCCUACGGGAGAAAGCAGGGGACCUUCGGGCCUUGCGCUAUCAGAUGAGCCUAGGUCGGAUUAGCUAGUUGGUGAGGUAAUGGCUCACCAAGGCGACGAUCCGUAACUGGUCUGAGAGGAUGAUCAGUCACACUGGAACUGAGACACGGUCCAGACUCCUACGGGAGGCAGCAGUGGGGAAUAUUGGACAAUGGGCGAAAGCCUGAUCCAGCCAUGCCGCGUGUGUGAAAGAAGGUCUUCGGAUUGUAAAAGCACUUUAAGUUGGAGGAAGGCAGUUACCUAAUACGUAUCUGUUUGACGUUACCGACAAGAAUAAGCAACCGGCUAAACUCUGUG
rnacentral:rRNA from 1 species